GUCUAUUAUCUAUAUUGAUAGAAAAAAAUGCAUAACUUACAGUUAAAAGUUUGUGUUUUUCUAUUUUAGGUGGUCUUAGUUUCCAUGAGUUUCCUUGGCUAACUUCCCCAGGCAUGAUUGCACAAGACUUUUACACAUUACACCAGGAUGCAGCUCCAAAACUCUUUGAGAAAUGGCUCCCUUGAUAUACCGAUAGGAUCUUGCAUUCUUCUAAACAAGAAGCAAAGCUUCCAGGUUCAGUUGAGGAUAUGCCACAAGAUGCAAAGGGAUAUCUUGCAUUAAAGCUGCUCCCUGUUUUGCUUCCACCUCCACCCGUCAAAACUGCCAGAAAAACAGUCCGGCCCAGCAUUGAUGAUGGCAAAAAAAGCUUUCAUCAACAUUCAGCCUGUUGGAACAAAUAUGAUGGAGUACCUCCAGCAGGCUGAAGCAUCAGGACUUUACCCUUAUUUCCUGUCACUUGAAAAUGGACCCAUGAAUCCCAGGCAUUCGUCAUCCUUGGAGGAGAAACUUUGGACAAGGCACUUUGAUUGGGGUAGUAGAAGCACUACAUUCUUGCAAGUAAAUGAAAAGAGUUUUUUUUUAAUAGACUGGGUUUCGGGUACAAGAGUUAUCAUUGUUUAUUUUUUUUUACAGACUUAAGGAAGUGUAUUACUUGAUGAAUAUUAAUGACAUGUUUGUGAAAUGUUACACUAGCAAAAUGCUGUAUUUCAUAGUUUUUUUGUGUGUGUUCAUAAUGUAGACUAAAACAAUACUGCUUUGUAACAAACAGUGGUUCUUAAAAGUAUUUUAUGAAUUUCAUGAAUUUUUUAAAAUGUUAAAACAUAUAGGGGCGGUUUCACAGAGAAGGAUUAGACUAGUCCUAUAGACUAAAAUAAAUGUAAGAGCUGUCCAAACUGAAAACAACUUACACUGACAUAUCUUAAAAUACACCAGUGCCCUUUGUUUUGCCUCAAAAUGCACACAAGUAAUGUUUUUAGGAAGACAUGUUUGUUCAAACUUGUUAUAUUUCCUAAUUAAACUAAGGACUAGUCCUGGCUUAAGCCAAUCCCUGUCUGGGAAAUCACCCCUUACACUUUUGCAAUUAGAGGCAAACCAUA